CCUUGCUUAUAUGGACGUUUCUCAGCAAUGUAAUGUCUCUGCUGUUUGAUAUCCUGACUAGGUUUGUCAGUGCUUUGCUUCCAAGAAGCAAGCAUCUUUUAAUUUCAUGGCUGAAGUCACCAUCUGCAGUGAUUUUGGAGCCUAAGAAAAUAAAGUUUGUCACGGUUUCCAUCGUUUAUCUAUCAAUUUGCCA